GACAGAGGAUGCAAGCAUUAUCCGGAAUGAUUGGGCGUAAAGCGUCUGUAGGUGGCUUUCAAGUCUGCCGUCAAAUCCCAGGGCUCAACCCUGGACAGGCAGUGGAAACUAACAAGCUGGAGUACGGUAGGGGCAGAGGGAAUUUCCGGUGGAGCGGUGAAAUGCAUUGAGAUCGGAAAGAACACCAACGACAAAAGCACUCUGCUGGGCCGACACUGACACUAAGAGACGAAGCUAGGGGAGCAAAUGGG
rnacentral:rRNA from 1 species